rnacentral:rRNA from 1 species
AUACGUAGGUGGCAAGCGUUGUCCGGAUUUAUUGGGCGUAAAGCGAGCGCAGGCGGUUUCUUAAGUCUGAUGUGAAAGCCCCCGGCUCAACCGGGGAGGGUCAUUGGAAACUGGGAGCCUUGAGUGCAGAAGAGGAGAGUGGAAUUCCAUGUGUAGCGGUGAAAUGCGUAGAUAUAUGGAGGAACACCAGUGGCGAAGGCGACUCUCUGGUCUGUAACGGGCGCUGAGGCUCGAAAGCGUGGGGAGCAAACAGGAUUAGAUACCCUGGUAGUCCACGCCGUAAGCGAUGAGUGCUAGGGGUUGGAGGGUUUCCGCCCUUCAGUGCUUCAGCUAACGCAUUAAGCACUCCGCCUGGGGAGUACGACCGCAAGGUUGAAACUCAAAGGAAUUGACGGGG